rnacentral:antisense_RNA from 1 species
AGUCAUAAUUGCUAUUCCCUGUAAAUAGUGAUUGUGAUGAGCGAUGUGGACGUGCGCUAACACGUUCACAUCGCGUU